rnacentral:rRNA from 1 species
CCUACGGGUGGCAGCAGUAGGGAAUCUUCCACAAUGGACGAAAGUCUGAUGGAGCAACACCGCGUGAGUGAAGAAGGGUUUCGGCUCGUAAAGCUCUGUUGGUAGUGAAGAAAGAUAGAGGUAGUAACUGGCCUUUAUUUGACGGUAAUUACUUAGAAAGUCACGGCUAACUACGUGCCAGCAGCCGCGGUAAUACGUAGGUGGCAAGCGUUGUCCGGAUGUAUUGGGCGUAAAGCGAGUGCAGGCGGUUCAAUAAGUCUGAUGUGAAAGCCUUCGGCUCAACCGGAGAAUUGCAUCAGAAACUGUUGAACGUGAGUGCAGAAGAGGAGAGUGGAACUUCAUGUGUAGCGGUGGAAUGCGUAGAUAUAUGGAAGAACACCAGUGGCGAAGGCGGCUCUCUGGUCUGCAACUGACGCUGAGGCUCGAAAGCAUGGGUAGCGAACAGGAUUAGAUACCCGGGUAGUC